rnacentral:rRNA from 1 species
CUGCCGAAUCAACUAGCCCUGAAAAUGGAUGGCGCUUGAGCGAGGGACCUAUACCCAGCCGUUGCUGGCUUGUGCGUUGUCUAGCGCCUGGCCGCAACGAGUAGGAGGGUCGUGGCGGUUGCGUCGAAGGCUUUGGGCGUAGGCCCAGCUGGAGCUUCCGUCAGUGCAGAUCUCGGUGGUAGUAGCAAAUAUUUAAGUUCGAUCCUUGAAGACUGAAGUGGAGAAGGGUUCCACGUGAACAGUAGUUGAAUGUGGGUCAGUCGAUCCUAAGAUACUGGCUUAUGCCUUGUAUCAUUGAGAGGGAAAAGUUUCUUUUCUCUCGGAUAUCAAAAGGGAAUAGGGUUAAUAUUCCCUAACGCAGACACAGAGAUUGCGGCUCUUUGAGUCGCUUGCGCGGUAACGCAUUCGAACUUGGUUACGUCGCUCAGAGACCGAGCUAGAGUUCUCUUCUCUAGUUAAGGAACGGACUCCCUGGAAUCGGUUCAGCCGUAGAUAGGGACGUUGUUUCCGUAAAGCAUCGCGGUUUCUGUGAUGUCUCGUGUUCUCUGGACGGCCCUUGAAAAACCAAGGAAGGCUAUCAAUCUGUGCUGCAUCGUACCGAUAUCCGCAUCAGGUCUCCAAGGUGAACAGC